CCCCUUGUGGCCUAACGGAUAAGGCAUCGGUCUCCUAAACCGGGGACUGCGGGUUCGAGUCCCGCCGAGGUUGGGA